rnacentral:rRNA from 1 species
UGGCGGACGGGUGAGUAAUGUCUGGGAAACUGCCUGAUGGAGGGGGAUAACUACUGGAAACGGUAGCUAAUACCGCAUAACGUCGCAAGACCAAAGAGGGGGACCUUCGGGCCUCUUGCCAUCGGAUGUGCCCAGGUGGGAUUAGCUAGUAGGUGGGGUAACGGCUCACCUAGGCGACGAUCCCUAGCUGGUCUGAGAGGAUGACCAGCCACACUGGAACUGAGACACGGUCCAG